rnacentral:rRNA from 1 species
GGGACACGUGGUAUCCUGUCUGAAUAUGGGGGGACCAUCCUCCAAGGCUAAAUACUCCUGACUGACCGAUAGUGAACCAGUACCGUGAGGGAAAGGCGAAAAGAACCCCGGCGAGGGGAGUGAAAAAGAACCUGAAACCGUGUACGUACAAGCAGUGGGAGCACCUUCGGGUGUGACUGCGUACCUUUUGUAUAAUGGGUCAGCGACUUAUAUUCUGUAGCAAGGUUAACCGUAUAGGGGAGCCGCAGGGAAACCGAGUCUUAACUGGGCGUUAAGUUGCAGGGUAUAGACCCGAAACCCGGUGAUCUAGCCAUGGGCAGGUUGAAGGUUGGGUAACACUAACUGGAGGACCGAACCGACUAAUGUUGAAAAAUUAGCGGAUGACUUGUGGCUGGGGGUGAAAGGCCAAUCAAACCGGGAGAUAGCUGGUUCUCCCCGAAAGCUAUUUAGGUAGCGCCUCGUGAAUUCAUCUUCGGGGGUAGAGCACUGUUUCGGCUAGGGGGUCAUCCCGACUUACCAACCCGAUGCAAACUGCGAAUACCGAAGAAUGUUAUCACGGGAGACACACGGCGGGUGCUAACGUCCGUCGUGAAGAGGGAAACAACCCAGACCGCCAGCUAAGGUCCCAAAGUCAUGGUUAAGUGGGAAACGAUGUGGGAAGGCACAGACAGCCAGGAUGUUGGCUUAGAAGCAGCCAUCAUUUAAAGAAAGCGUAAUAGCUCACUGGUCGAGUCGGCCUGCGCGGAAGAUGUAACGGGGCUAAACCAUGCACCGAAGCUGCGGCAGCGACACUAUGUGUUGUUGGGUAGGGGAGCGUUCUGUAAGCCUGCGAAGGUGUGCUGUGAGGCAUGCUGGAGGUAUCAGAAGUGCGAAUGCUGACAUAAGUAACGAUAAAGCGGGUGAAAAGCCCGCUCGCCGGAAGACCAAGGGUUCCUGUCCAACGUUAAUCGGGGCAGGGUGAGUCGACCCCUAAGGCGAGGCCGAAAGGCGUAGUCGAUGGGAAACAGGUUAAUAUUCCUGUACUUGGUGUUACUGCGAAGGGGGGACGGAGAAGGCUAUGUUAGCCGGGCGACGGUUGUCCCGGUUUAAGCAUGUAGGCUGGUUGUCCAGGCAAAUCCGGAUAAUCAAGGCUGAGGUGUGAUGACGAGGCACUACGGUGCUGAAGUAACAAAUGCCCUGCUUCCAGGAAAAGCCUCUAAGCAUCAGGUAACAU